rnacentral:tRNA from 1 species
AAGGGAGACCUAAUUCAGGUAUGGGACGAAAAAAAAGUAGUCGCUACCAAGAAUCAAUCCCAAAAGGUCGGAGCGAGGCGAAAUUGGCUUUCAAACUAGGUUCUGGGUUCACACAAGACCUGAAUCAGGAACAAGGGCUAUUAGCUCAGGUGGUUAGAGCGCACCCCUGAUAAGGGUGAGGUCCCUGGUUCGAGUCCAGGAUGGCCCACCUGCACAGGUGGCAAAAACAAGAGAAGCGAGGAAUCAGCACCUGCUCUUACCUACAUAGUAAGAGAGAAUGCUGGCUCUGAGUACAGAGUCCAGAGGAACCUUGAAAACUGCAUAGAGCUAGGUGAAAAAGCCAAAAAAGAAGACCGCAA